rnacentral:ncRNA from 1 species
AUACACGGGGAGCUGUCAGCUGAGAGGUGCUUUUGCACGACCCGCAAUACCUGAUCUGGGCAAUGCCAACGUAGGGAUGUA